rnacentral:rRNA from 1 species
UACGGAGGGGGCUAGCGUUGUUCGGAAUUACUGGGCGUAAAGCGCACGUAGGCGGCUUUGCAAGUUAGAGGUGAAAGCCCAGGGCUCAACCCUGGAAUUGCCUUUAAAACUGCAUCGCUAGAAUUGUGGAGAGGUAAGUGGAAUUCCGAGUGUAGAGGUGAAAUUCGUAGAUAUUGGGAAGAACACCGGUGGCGAAGGCGGCUCACUGGCUCGUAUCUGACGCUCAGGCGCGACAGCGUGGGGAUCAAACAGG